rnacentral:lncRNA from 1 species
CGGAUAUUAAGUAUUGAUAAAAUAAUUAUAAAUUAUCGUUAAAUAUAUAUUUAUUUCAAGGGAUAAUACACUUUAUUUCAAAGGUCACUGUACAAGGGUUCAAUUUUUAUUAUGGUUAUCGAAACUUUUUUUUUGUUAAAAUCGAAUAACUGCAUUCUCAAAAAUUACAAAAUGGUCAUAUUUUUAAUUUCCGUCCUAAAAAACAGACGUAAUGCUGACUGUGAAUUUUUUUUGCUCGCGAGUGUAAAACUCCAGACCUAUCCAAACUAGAAUGUUUAUAUUUCAACAAAAGCCACUAGACCAACUACCUAU